rnacentral:lncRNA from 1 species
CUGCUAGGGACUCCUGGCGGAAGAAGCUGCUCGCAGCCGGAGCCUAGGGCAACUUCGGGCGGAAGCGGCGGAGCUCGGAACUCGGAAGACGGGGAAGUCGGAGCCGGAAGUCCGUCUCCGCCUAGGUCCGGUGAGAACGCUUCCGGAAACGCCGCUAGAAUCGAAGAGUUGGGUUCCUAGUGGGAAAAAGCUCUUAUUUGCCUGCGCGCCCACCGCCGCAGGUCAUCCCCUCCAAACACCAUUUCGUGUCACAAGAGGCCGGGGAGGAUGGGACGACGACAAGAGGUCCCUGACCUGUCUUCCUCUGCUUGAGCAGGAGUCCCUCCAACAGCUCUUCCGAGGGCGGGGCUGCCGUAAAUUGUAGCCAUUUUCACCCAUUCGCGGUGAAGAGAUGGCACAAGCGGGAUCGAAUAAGUGAUUGUGACUCCAGGGCCGCCAGGUGGAGGGGGUCACAGGCCGGGUGCCGCCGCCGGGGCGGUGACCGUGACCAGGAGAGGGGACACAUCCAACCCCUGAGAGAGGCACCUGGGUGGAUACAGACGGUGCACAGAAGAGGAGGUGGGGAAGAUCCAGGGAGUGGCGGACGCGGUUCACCUGGAGCAGAGCCCGGACUUCACUCCAGAGAUGACCAUCUCAAGCGGACAGAUCUACAAGUAUCAUCCCACAGAUAGCUAAGAGAAAAGCUUCUCUUCAUAAUGGAGAGAGCUGGUGAUCGUCACUGUAACCAAGUGACCAACAGUGUGACCCCCAGCCAUUCUGCACCUCCUGACGUGAGACAAUGGUGGGUACGCAACAUCACCGGGGAAGUACUCUAGCCAGACAUGCUUAACUCCAAUCUAAGCACUAGGAAACCAUCAGACACAUUCACAGAGUCGGAUAUUCUACAAAGCAACUGGCCUGGGCUCUCUUAAAAAUUCAGUGCCGUGGAAAACAAGAGCCAAAGGCAAGAGGACCAUCCCAAAUUCAAAGAGGCUAAAGGGAUGUAACAACCAAAUGCCAGGCAGGAAACGUGAUUAAAUCCCCGAUCAGAAAACAAAAUUACUACAAAAGACAUUUUGGGGGAAGUGUGAACAUGGAUUGUAUACUAGAUGAUAUUACUGAAUUAAUGUUAAUUUUCUUAGAUGGGAUAAUGAUAGUGUAGUUAUGUAGGAAAAUGUCCUUUUUCUCAAAAGAUGCAUGCUGAAAUAUUUAAAUAUGAAGCAUCACAAGGUCUGCGGCUUAAUUUCAAAUGUUUCAGAAAAAAAGUGCCUAUGUAGUGAUUAUGUAUGUAUGUAGAUGUAUAUACAUAUAUACAAACACACAUAGAGCACACACACAUAUAGUAUUUAUGUAUGCACCUACUGAAUAAAAAUGUGGCAAAUUAUUGACA